rnacentral:tRNA from 1 species
GAGCCGGUAGCUCAGCCGGUAGAGCAACGGCCUUUUAAGCCGUGGGUCGCGGGUUCGACUCCCGCCCGGCUCACCA